CCUACGGGUCGCUGCAGUGGGGAAUAUUGGACAAUGGGCGAAAGCCUGAUCCAGCCAUGCCGCGUGUGUGAAGAAGGCCUUCGGGUUGUAAAGCACUUUCAGUGGGGAAGAAAGCCUUGGGGCUAAUACCCUCGAGGAAGGACAUCACCCACAGAAGAAGCACCGGCUAACUCCGUGCCAGCAGCCGCGGUAAUACGGAGGGUGCGAGCGUUAAUCGGAAUUACUGGGCGUAAAGCGCGCGUAGGCGGUCUGAUAAGCCGGUUGUGAAAGCCCCGGGCUCAACCUGGGAACGGCAUCCGGAACUGUCAGGCUAGAGUGCAGGAGAGGAAGGUAGAAUUCCCGGUGUAGCGGUGAAAUGCGUAGAGAUCGGGAGGAAUACCAGUGGCGAAGGCGGCCUUCUGGACUGACACUGACGCUGAGGUGCGAAAGCGUGGGUAGCAAACAGGAUUAGAUACCCUAGUAGUC
rnacentral:rRNA from 1 species